rnacentral:lncRNA from 1 species
CAGCAAUUUCCGUAUCACUUAGUGGAGACCUAGAAUCAGCCAGGCCAGGACAAUGGAAUCAAUUCCAUCUGGUUGCUAUGGAGAAUCCAAUGGGGGGGGGCUACAGAGACAAGAACGAGGUCCGCCCUCCGUUGCUGGGACUUGGACUGCCUGAGGUCUCAGCAUCCAUGAAUGUGAGGCUGGAAGUUCCAAAUGAAGAGGUGGGGUGGAGGAGCAAAGGUACUAUCAUUAGACAUAAUAAUAAAUACGACCUCCCUGUACUCAUGCACAAGUGCUCUGCUAUAUUAUAAAAUAAUCAAAUAGCUCAGGAGUCUACCUCAAGCCCUGAGCAAGUUUCCCUUGACAACCAAGCCCCACCCUAACAUAUGCAAGUUUCUCUUUAGCUUUAAGUGUUGGACAAAAGUCUUUAUGGUUGCUGUGAGGAGAAAAGUCUCUGCCAAUGAUGAAGCCGCCCAGGAUUCAGAAGUCCAGGACCCAAGAACUUCCUGAGUAAAAGGCUUUUGCCUAGCUGGUGUAGUCAUGAGUACCAAUGACCCCAGAAAGCUUGUACUUGUCUUAAUCUGUGUUGUCUUUGAAUUAUUUUGUCUCUAUCUUCUGUAUAAAACAG